rnacentral:SRP_RNA from 2 species
GCCGAGUUGGGUAGUGUCAACUUGUGACUCAAGCGAGGGCAUUAUGGUGGUGGAAUAAUACUGUGGAUUCUCUGGGUUGGGCUAUGAUGGCAAAAUGUUGGCCUGCCCACUCCAAGUUGGGAGCUGACCCAUGGGGCCUGGGCGAAGGCCUGGGUCUCUAGAGUCCUAAAGUGGAGGACACAGCGUCAGGCUGGUUUCACAGAGCAGCGAAAACCUCUCUCUCCUAACAGUGGAGGGAUAACAGGCUGCUGCAAUUAUGGUCUGUGUUGUGUAUGCCCAGGGAGCCUGGAUUAGACCACCACCUUU